rnacentral:rRNA from 1 species
AUGGAACAUAACAAAGCUCCAGGCCCUGAUGGUUUCCCCGCAGAAUUCUAUCAGAAUUUCUGGGAUAUCAUCAAGUCUGACCUUUUGGAGUUGUUCAAUUGUUUUCAUGCCGACCGACUUGACCUAUUCAGACUUAAUUUUGGCGAGAUUGUCUUGUUGCUGAAGAUUGAGGAGGCCGAACGGAUUCAACAGUUCAGACCCAUAUGCCUCCAUAAUGUCAGCUUCAAGAUUUUCACCAAAGUGAACAUGAGUGGAGUAGUAUUCAAAAUAGACUUUGAAAAAGCCUAUGACAAGGUCAAAUGGUCUUUCCUCCAACAGGCCCUAAGGAUGAAAGGCUUCUCCGAUAAACGGUGCAAGUGGAUCCACAAUUUUGUAACUGGAGGUAGUGUGGCCAUCAAAGUCAAUGAUGAUGUCGGCCAUUACUUUCAGACAAAAAAAUGA